GACGAACGCUGGCGGCGUGCUUAACACAUGCAAGUCGAACGGAAAGGCCCUGCUUUUGUGGGGUGCUCGAGUGGCGAACGGGUGAGUAACACGUGAGUAACCUGCCCUUGACUUUGGGAUAACUUCAGGAAACUGGGGCUAAUACCGGAUAGGAGCUCCUGCUGCAUGGUGGGGGUUGGUAAGUUUCGGCGGUUGGGGAUGGACCCGCGGCUUAUCAGCUUGUUGGUGGGGUAGUGGAUUACCAAGGCUUUGACGGGUAGCCGGCCUGAGAGGGUGACCGGCCACAUUGGGACUGAGAUACGGCCCAGACUCCUACGGGAGGCAGCAGUGGGGAAUAUUGCACAAUGGGCGGAAGCCUGAUGCAGCAACGCCGCGUGCGGGAUGACGGCCUUCGGGUUGUAAACCGCUUUCGCCUGUGACGAAGCGUGAGUGACGGUAAUUGGUAAAGAAGCACCGGCUAACUACGUG
rnacentral:rRNA from 1 species